rnacentral:tRNA from 1 species
GUAGUUAUGGUGUAGUUGGUAACGACGUCGACUUUGGCUUGGAGGGGUCGUGGGUUCGAAUCCCGUUGGCGGGA